GACGAACGUUGGCGGUGCGCUUAAUGCAUGCAAGUCGAGGGAGAACCAGUUGAUUCGUAAGAUUCAGCUGGGGAAACCGGCGAACGGGUGCGUAACACGUGAGGAACCUGCCCCGAAGACCGGGAUAGCCCGAGGAAACUCGGAUUAAUACCGGAUACCCUCUUUGGACCACAUGGUCUAUUGAGGAAAUGGUCCGCCGCUUCGGGAUGGCCUCGCGGCCUAUCAGCUUGUUGGUGAGGUAAUGGCUCACCAAGGCCGAGACGGGUAGCUGGUCUGAGAGGACGAUCAGCCACACUGGGACUGAGACACGGCCCAGACUCCUACGGGAGGCAGCAGCAGGGAAUAUUGCACAAUGGGCGGAAGCCUGAUGCAGCGACACCGCGUGCGGGAUGAAGGCCUUCGGGUUGUAAACCGCUUUCAGGAGGGACGAAAAUGACGGUACCUCCAGAAGAAGGCCCGGCCAACUACGUGCCAGCAGCCGCGGUAAUACGUAGGGGCCAAACGUUGUCCGGAUUUAUUGGGCGUAAAGGGCUCGCAGGCGGUUCAACAAGUCGAUCGUGAAAGCCCGGGGCUCAACCCCGGGACGCCGGUCGAAACUGUUGUGACUUGAGUUCGGUAGAGGUGAGUGGAAUUCUCGGUGUAGCGGUGGAAUGCGCAGAUAUCGAGAGGAACACCCGUAGCGAAGGCGGCUCACUGGGCCGAUACUGACGCUGAGGAGCGAAAGCAUGGGGAGCAAACAGGAUUAGAUACCUGGUAGUCCAUGCCGUAAACGAUGAACACUAGGUGUAGCGGAUUGAUUCAUGUCUG
rnacentral:rRNA from 1 species